rnacentral:rRNA from 1 species
CAGUUCGGACUGGAGUCUGCAACCCGACUCCACGAAGCUGGAUUCGCUAGUAAUCGCGCACCAGCCACGGCGCGGUGAAUACGUUCCCGGGCCUUGUACACACCGCCCGUCAAGCCAUGGGAGCCGGGGGUACCUGAAGUGCGUAACCGCGAGGAUCGCCCUAGGGUAAAACUGGUGACUGGGGCUAAGUCGUAACAAGGUAGC